AAUAGAUACCCAGGUAGUCCACGCCGUAAACGAUGAGUGCUAAGUGUUAGAGGGUUUCCGCCCUUUAGUGCUGCAGCUAACGCAUUAAGCACUCCGCCUGGGGAGUACGGUCGCAAGACUGAAACUCAAAGGAAUUGACGGGGGCCCGCACAAGCGGUGGAGCAUGUGGUUUAAUUCGAAGCAACGCGAAGAACCUUACCAGGUCUUGACAUCCUCUGACAACUCUAGAGAUAGAGCGUUCCCCUUCGGGGGACAGAGUGACAGGUGGUGCAUGGUUGUCGUCAGCUCGUGUCGUGAGAUGUUGGGUUAAGUCCCGCAACGAGCGCAACCCUUGAUCUUAGUUGCCAGCAUUCAGUUGGGCACUCUAAGGUGACUGCCGGUGACAAACCGGAGGAAGGUGGGGAUGACGUCAAAUCAUCAUGCCCCUUAUGACCUGGGCUACACACGUGCUACAAUGGAUGGUACAAAGGGCUGCAAGACCGCGAGGUCAAGCCAAUCCCAUAAAACCAUUCUCAGUUCGGAUUGU
rnacentral:rRNA from 1 species